CCUACGGGUGGCAGCAGUGGGGAAUAUUGCACAAUGGGGGAAACCCUGAUGCAGCGACGCCGCGUGAGUGAAGAAGGAUUUCGGUAUGUAAAGCUCUAUCAGCAGGGAAGAAAAUGACGGUACCUGAUUAAGAAGCCCCGGCUAACUACGUGCCAGCAGCCGCGUUAAUACGGAGGCUGCGAGCGUUAUCCGGAUUUAUUGGGUUUAAAGGGUGCGUAGGCGGUUUGUUAGGUCAGCGGUAAAAUUGCGGGGCUCAACCCCGUCGAGCCGUUGAAACUGGCAGACUUGAGUUGGGGAGAAGUACGCGGAAUGCGUGGUGUAGCGGUGAAAUGCAUAGAUAUCGCGCAGAACUCCGAUGGCGAAGGCAGCGUACCGGCGCCAGACUGACGCUGAGGCACGAAAGCGUGGGGAUCGAACAGGAUUAGAUACCCCAGUAGUC
rnacentral:rRNA from 1 species